UGAAUGGAGCAUGGCCAGAAAGGGUCUCUGGAAGAUUCUGUAGGGACUUGGGGCAGUGGGGGGAGAUCAUCAUGAUGGAUGGGUGUGGCUAGAAAUGGUCUCAAGAAGCCAACUGAGUGUUAGUAUGAUGUGGGUCUGAUAGACCGCCUCUUCGGGCAGCCUGCCCUCCCGAUGGGCUUCCAUUUCCAUCGACGCAAGCACAAGUUCGAGGCCUCCUGGAUCGAGUUGUUCUUUGAUAUUUAAAAGGUAGAUUCUCCUUCUAUGAGUACAAUAUUAAUGACUAAUCGUAGAGGAAAAUCCACGUUUUCAGUAUCAAAUGCUGCUUGGGAAACCACCGAGGACAAGACGUCAUCAUGGAAGAAAGCAUGCUCUCCGUCGUCUUCCUGGGUUUGGCGGGGAUAGAUAGAUUUGUGAUUUGUGUAGUGUGUGUGCCCAUGUGCCAGCUUCUCCCAGUGAUGUGUUCUGAGACCACUGUGUUCUUAGUAUCCCUUCCCUGACCUCAGACGAAGUUGUUUCUCUGUGCGUUCCCCAUGGGUAUGAUAUGUUUUCUGGAAUCAGCUUCUUUUUCAGUAGCAGCGAGUCUUGGAGACUGCCUGGGUGGGCCAUCAUUUUGGGUAAGGGCACCUUGGGUCACCCUUUGGGGGAUGUAGGGGGGGAGAAGGGGCAUGUGAGUCAUCUGGGUGUGUCACCUCCAAAUGUGUCCCCCUCAGGCUCUCUUCUGGACUGUCAUCGCACCCAUCAUCACACCGGACCAGCUCUCCCCAGCGCUCCUUAUCGUUUGCUACUUGAAGAGAGGUUAUCCUUUGUGUGUUUGCUUUACGCGAAAUGAAUAUGCAAGGGCAAGCUCUCUUCGAGGAGCAAAUGCUGCCUGGAAGCAAGGCUGGCGGCCUGGGCCUACCAGAAGGGCACGGUCACUCCAGGGUAAGUAAAUGCAUGCAGCGGGCCAUGGAGCAUGGGCGCCUUCUGCGACUGACCCUCCAGCUCUCAUGCACGUUUCUGAGAACUUUCUAGAAAAGAUGCUGACUUGGGAGAUCAUAAGGGCUUUUCUUGGCAGAGCCAAGGAAACUGUGCCUCCCCUUCUGGCCGCCCUUCACUGUGUUAUGUGCAUGCCAAUCAUCUUCUAAAAUCAAAAGAGUGUCAGCAGCAAGCCAGUGCCCAUUUAGAUGUGGGUUCUGCCCUCCAUGCUUAGAAUCACCUUUAAGGCUUCCUGUCCACUUAAGGAAAAGGGGGUUGGUGGAUGCCCAAAGUAAAGAUGGCCCCAGAGGCUACUAAACCAUUAAGCUUCCAUGCCCAGGUGUCCUCCUUGCCCUUUGUGUCCCAGCAUGAACUAAGGUUAGAGAACAUUGGUUCUUGGGGUGGGGGUUGGGCAUCUCACCUCCCUUCGGUGAGCCUCCCACUGGGCGGAUGUUUAUAGUGAUAAGUCACUGCUCCUGUGGUCCUCUGAACUCCCCAGGAAGGGCAGAAGGAAAGGCCAAUAGUCUCCACACUGCUCCAGUUUGGGGAGGGGGUGGGGGCUCUCAGAGAGUUAGUUUUCCGGUUUUCCUUCUUUCUCGAAUGAUGCAUGUUGCUGUGGGUUCUAAUCCUGCUCUUUCCAUGGCCAUCUGGAGGACUUCCUGGAGGCUGCAGCUGUGGGAACAGGUGGAGGUUUUCUUGCCAGGGUGGCUCUCAGUCACUUUAUUAAGUUACACAGGAUUUUCCCCCACCCCAUCCCACCCUCCCACCCCUAGUCACUUGGACGAUCAUCCUGGUUUGGAGUGAUACCGAGAAGUAAACUAACUUCAGGGCUGGGUACCAGUGUGCAGAGUGUCCAGCAAAUUCCAGAGCCAAUCAGCUGAGACUUGCCCCACCAACCCUGUGCUCCACCCAAGGCCGACAGGGCACUGUUCCCUGGCCCAACAUUUGGUACCCGUAAGGAGGACAGCCUCUUUAUUUUAUCACUUUAUUGAUGGUGAUAUACAGCAAGAGACACUUAUCCUCUCUCACCCCGUCGGGGAAGCCCUCCAGCCCUCCUCCAUCUUUGGGACAGCUACAAUGUGACUUCGGACCUUCUCAGGUACGUCCCAAUUCUUGGUUCUAGAAUGGGAAUGCUGGCUAAGCUACUAAUCUCUGGUCUUUCUUGUCUUCUUGGUGCCUGAUCUUUUUCUCCUGUGGGGGGUGGGCACUCCAGUGCCUGUUGCACUUGCUUUGAGUAUGAUCACCCAACAGUGGCUCGCUUCGUAAAGGGCAGUGGUCCACAGACCUGCGGUCUGUUUGUGCCAGCCCUUCUCCACAGCUGCUCACUGCAUUAACCUUAAAAGAGAAACUGUGAAACUAGACUAUCCCAGCUUUGAUGCCAGUAAUGGUCUACACAUCUUUGUUUAUAGAGGCUUCAGGCCCACUCCACCAGUCUCCAAGUCAGGACUUCCUGGAAGUAAUGUCUGUCUUUGGGAAGAGGCUGAAGUUUGCUGCCUACCUGGUGUUUUUCUGUAGCUGUAGCUGUAUCAGAAGGAGACAUUUCUAACAGCCCACCCCAGAAGAAAGGAAAGCAAGCCAUCCCGUCAGACAAAGGUGAGUGUUUCUCCUGGCCAUGAUUUCCUGCUCACCUGUGGUCACCCCUGCCUGCUCAUUUCUGGGGAAGUGGUCCCAAAAGGGGAGAUGGUUCCACUCUUCAUUGGCAUGUGGAGUUUGACCCCUGCGCAACAUCAGUUUUUCUCCUAAUUUUGUUCCAUUCCAGUGUCGGGCAGAAUUAGUGGGGCAGGGUCCGGUCCUGGGAGUGAUCCUGAUGUCCAUGACUUAGGGUGGCAGGAAGGGUUGGUUUUAUCUCCUCUAUAAACUCAUUGGGCUCUCUUGCCCUGUGAUGUGCAGUGUACAGCCCAAGCGGGCAAUCAUGGAGGAAGUGCUAAGGAAAAGAUUGUGGUCCUAGGCAGGGUCUUCUUCCCCCGGAGAGUGAAAAAUCUGAGUUCUGUAUUUCCUGAGAGAUCCAUGAUGCUGGUCCUUUUCAGCAGAGUGGAAAAAUCUCAAUCUGUUAUAGCACCUGCCAGUAAUAUUAGGAAAAGGUGUCCCCUCCCCUGACCCCCAGUGUCUGUCCCAGCCCAAGCUCCCUGUGGAGAGCUGCCCAGCGGGCACACAUCUGGCAGGUGGUGUCUGCCACCUAAUUGGCUGAUUCCGAAUCUCCCAUCACUCCUCAGGCUGAGUCCCAGGCGACGAGGCUGACCCCGUGAAUGCUAGAGCGGAACCUGCCCCAUGCUAUUGUUUGGUACUUAAAGCGAGGUUGCCCUUUGUAUAUUCGGUUUAUUGACAUGGGAUAUACAAGGGCAAGCUCUCUGUGAGCAUCAAACCUUAUCUUGGAUCCUGUCCACACUCAGCGAGGGAUGUGGUAUGUGUGUGCAUGGCCGUGCAUAUCCAUCUUGUGUGUGGUUUGGCAAACCGCUUCCUGGGUUUCCAUUGUGCACCAGCGGCUUCAUGGGUGCAAGAUGACAUCACAUCAGGAAAGGCCUUGGGUACAACAUCCCCUCUCCUUGUUCGCUAUGGGUGGGUCCCAAAGCAUGCGCUGUGUGUGGCCUGGGUCCCUGCUUUUCCAGGCCGAUAGUCAGGUCUGUGCUGGCGUGGUGUUUUGAUGUUCUGUCACGACGUGGUGCCCAAGUGUGCAUGUUCUUGCUCGGUGUGUGUGACCCGGUCCGCUAACGCUCGGCGUCUAAUUCGUCCCCAGGACCCCACCUGGAAGACGUAGCACGUCUACCUGAGGCGGUGGCUUCCCUUUCCAGGCCGAGCUUUGGUACUUGGAGAGUGGUUAUCCCUGUCCUCUUCGCUUCACUUAUGCCGAAUCGUACAGGGUCAUCCACUUUUUCAGUAUCAAGUGCACAGACUCUGCAGCCUGGCUUCCCGCGCCCGGAUCCUGCCUCUGACACUUCCCACCGUACACCCUUGGACAAGGGUGUCAUCGUGCUAUGCUCCUUGUCUCGCGUGUCACACGGGGAGUCAUACUGGGGUCCGACGCAUAUAGCUGCCGGGGUUGGGAGGGAUCAGGCUCUCCUAGGGACUAGGCUCAUCAUUGACCAUGUGCCAGCCCGAACGCUUGUGUGCCGUGAGCUGACUACCGGUAGCUGCAGUGGUGUUAUGCAAAGCUAUCCCUGGAUUCGGGAGUCGUCAAUGUUGAGACAGACAUUCUCUGUCAGAUAUGUGAGUGGGUGUUGAAGCUUAGAGUUUGUGCUGGACAUAUAAGGAGACCAGUGGAGCUUGUGGUGCUCAGUAGUGACAUCGUUUCUAAGGUGGCUUCUAGAACAGGAGACCGACCCCAUGCUGUGGGGUCAACAGGGCUGCCCACAAUGCUUGCCCAUCUCGCCUCCCUGGUGCUCAAAAUGCCCAUCGGUAGUAGUGCAUGCGUGGUGCACGUAUGUGUUGGGUACAGCCGGGUGUGGGGAGUGGUGGUCACUCCCAAGAGUGACCGACGGAUGCUGGCAUUCCUGCUGUGCUACUGUUUCAUACUUGAGGAGAAAUUAUCCUUGGUGUGUUUGCUCUUUUGGAUGAAUCAUACAAGGGUAAUUUCUUUUCGAGUAUCAAAUACUGCCCUGGCGGACUUCCUGGAUGACAAGAUGGUUGUGUAAAGGGCUGCAUGGUGCAUGGUGCAUGGAUUAGCCUUACCUGGACACAAGGCAAGAGAGCACAGAGCUAAUGUAUAGGAGAUGCACUUUGACCCACCUCAGGACCUUGCCUGAUGAAUCCAGGGGUUCCUACAUGGCUUGGUCAUGGGUAGGUGACAUAGUUUUCAUGACUUAGAAAAUAGUGGGUUUUUUUUUUUUUUUUGGUUGGAAAGCCAGUCUCAGAGAUAGUCACUGGGGUCAGACCCCUGUCUCUGGCUCAAGAGUGUGACUGGCUCCACAAGCAUGUGCUUGACUCUUUUUGAGUGACACUGGCCUGCUAGCCAUGUGGCGUGGACCAUGAGAGAUCUAGAGGAGCCCCUGCCCUUGGAGGAGAUGCUAAGGUUUUCUUGAUGCUGUGGUUCUCUGACACUGAAUGGCCAUCCGUAGUGUGUUCUCCAUAUUUCUGAUGAUUAAUGUGGGGUGACCAUUGUCUGUCCCAUAUCUGAAUUUGCUUCAGAAGGUUCUAGAGCACAGUGGUGACUUCAGCUAAUGGACGUUGGUACCUGCUGCAGAGAGAAAGAGAAUUUAUUGAGGCCUCUUCUUAAUAAAUGCAGUGACUUCAGGAUGCACCCCUCCUCCCUUGUGCUCUCACACCGACAACUUUGAGGUGGCAACAGCUUUGGUGGCUUAGUUCUUUGUGCUUGGUUUGGGAGACACUGAGACUAACUCACCUGUCUGUUGUUGCUGUUAAAUCUUAAUCCAGAGGAACUCCUUGCGAAGGUACCGGGUCAAGCAUCUCUUUAGAUAGACAGAACUUGUCCAGGAUCUUCUAGGUCCAGCACCCACUCUCCUCAGCAUCCAUUCCGAGCAUGGACCGCCUGUGGUUAAUACAAUUGUUACUAAGGAUACCUCCCGCCGCCCCCGCCGCCGCUGCUUUAAGUCGCUCUUUAUCUGUUCUAUGGCUUAUUCUUACUAUGGCUUCGUUGGGGCUGACCUUUUCUUAGACAUACCUGGUCAAUAGCAUACCAUUUCAGUUCAUUCCAUAACCUGGUGUGUGUGUGUGUGUGUGUGUGUGUGUGUGUGUGUGUGUGUGUGUGUGUGUGUGCCUGCAGGUAUGCAAGUAUGUGUGUGUGUGCGUGUGUGUGCGUGUGUAUGUGUGUGCACAUGCAUGUAUGCCUGUACAAAUUGUUGGUUAGGGUAGGGGCUUUCAAACUGCUCAAUGCGGCUAAGAUAUUCGUCACCUAGGGAUCUUGUUAAAAAGCAGAUUCUGAUUGAGGGACCAAGAUUCUGCAUUUUUAGCAAGCUCUCAAGUGAUGCUAAUGCUGCCGGUCUGUGGACAACACUCGUAGCCACUGGGGGCUGGAGGUGAUGUUGCAUGUUACUCGUAGUGUGUGUGCGCCAUCUCCUCCAUCGUCCCUACAUUAUCCAUCACCAGUGAGCAUUGAGCCAAUAUGCUACCUUUUGAUGAUUGAACUGCAGUUCAGUUGUGAAAGGCCACCUUCUGUACAAACAACAUGUGAUUACUCUUUCAAAUCACAUCAUGCCUCCGUGGGCUUCCCAGAUAGAAGAGCUACUUCAAGGAGGGGCUGCCUAUGUGAGCCCCCUUCAGGACUUGUCAGCACCAGGUUAUUGAUGACUGAGACCGUCUGACUCUGUAACCCUCCAUUUCCAGUCAAUUCUAAGGAGCAGUUCCUGGAACCACAGCUUCUGGGACAGGAGGAGGAGUCCUAUCUGUUGUAUCCAUCAGCAACACUCCGUGUUAUUGAGAGAGGUAAUACCCAUGAUGCCAUUGCUCUUCUGUGAUAUUCCACCAGCUGCUGGCUUCUUGUCAUCCAGCUUACCUCUCAGGGAAUACCCACAUAGGUUUCCAUUUCUUUUCUAAAGUGGCCUUAGGAAGCUUCCUGAACCUGGCUCUAGUGGGUAUCACUUUUGCUCUCAGACCAGAUUUUGGCCCUAGGACUAAUGUGUAGCAGUGAGUGGUUCAUAUCAGCUCAUAUGCUUUGCUUUCUUACAGACAGUAGGCAUUUACUUCUUAGGCUAGGGAUGCAAUUUGUCAUGGGAAGAAUCUUCUGGAAGCAAAGGUGGCAGUAGACAAGAGGCUCUGAUUUUCCUGUCAGAGCUCUCCCAGGUUAUUUGAGGUCAUUCAUAUUCUGUUUGCUUAUUGUCAAUGAGACAAGCCUCCUUUUUAAUCUCAAACUCUGGCUUUUUUUUUAAGGGCUCCCUGCACAAGAGGUGUGCGACUGCAUGCCUUGUGUGAGCCUCUGAUGAGCCCUGCAUCUUCUUCAGGCUAUGCUUGGAUAUUGCUGAUGAAGAAGACCCAAAGAAGCUUGGUCCUGCUUGCAGUGAAUUCGCUGUGCUUUUCCAAAUACCCUUCGUUUUUCCUACUCCAUCAGUUUUCAGUGCUGGGAUGUGCUCGAAGGGUGAGCUGAUGCCAGGCCUUCCCCAGCCAGGAGUUGAGGGCCAAAUCCCUUCUUGAUAGCUAGGCAGCAGGGAGAAGACAUGAGAUGCUUAAGAAGUAGUCACAUUUCCCCUGGGGACAGGCUGGUUUUCAGAGUUACAUCCAUUCAAAACACGCCCACAGAAUUCAAUUGUGAAGGACAAGCCAACUUGACCCUGUUCUUUUGUUCUCACCGAGGUCCUGUCCUUGGCAUCUACUUCGUCCUCUGGUAGACACCAGCGAGGUGCAGUCACUACCCUGAUGGGGCUUCCUGACCUGCUGUUUGGCUGUGGAAGAGACUUGACUCCUUUCUUUUUGUGCUGGUGGAGAUCACAUGCAGAAGGUAAAGAGAACCAUGCUUUUUUUUUGGAUUCUGGAAGAGGGAGGUUGGCCCAUAUCCCCAAGAUAAGGAAAGAUGCUGUUCUCUGGGUCUCUCACCUUCAGGGAUGAUGGCGAUGGUGGACAGGAAGCCCAACUCCUGCCCCCUGGAUAAUUCUUCCCUUGGUGAUGUCUAAUCCUGGAUGGAAUCAGUUCAAGAUGAAUGCCAGCUUCAUACAAGAGCCCUACCAGGCUUGGCCUGAGAGAGAGGUGCCAUCAACUACCAAGAGUGCGUACUAAAUGGCCUGUUUAUGGAAGAGAUUCUCAAAAGGAAGCCCAAAGCCCGGGAAGAAAUGAUGGACCGGAAACCACAGGUCAUGCAAGUUAAGGUCACAGGUUUCUUUGUUCCAGACUCUCAGCACCCAGGCUACCCUAGUGGGCCAUGAGAUCCCUUUGCCACACCUUGGCAUACACCAUUAUGACUUGGGAAGCCAACACUGUAUUUGUGUCAUUUCUCUAGACUUUCUAUUUGUCAAGACAAACUCCUUGUACAGUCCUAAAGGAAGCUCCCUGGGGACAGAGUAUUGCCCCUCAUAGGGGAAAGGAGUUUGAUCAGAGAACACACAUUUAAACUGAUGGCAGCUGGUUGCAGUCCCUUCCUACCAAGUGACUUAUAGGGAGACUCCUGCAGGCUCUCCAGAGGUAGUGAGGUCCUUAUAAAAUGAGGUCCUGGCACAUGGGAACAGUCUUCCCAUCGGUUUGCCUCCAUUGCUUUUCUUCCAUUUAUUGCUUGAAUUCGGUGUUUUAGGCCUGGAAUUCACUACAUAACUAAAGCCCCCAGAAUUGAAUGCAUGACAAUAUCCCUGCCUCAGACUUCGGGAAUGGGCGAUGCUGAGCUUAGAGUUUGCUUUCUUUCCUUUUGAAACUUUUUAUUUUGUUUUUAUAUGUGUACCUGAAUAUAUGUAUGUGUAACAUAUAUAUGCAGGAGCCUGCAGAUGUCAGAGGAGAGACCAUUUAAUCAUCUGGAACUAGACUUAUAGAUGGUUCCGAGUCAAUCUUGUGGGAACUGAGCCCAGCUCUUCCGAACGUAUUAACUGCUGAACCAUCUAUUCAGUGCCCACCCCCGGCCCCCAAAUCCAUGGUUAGCUUUCUUGACACUGAGACCUAUAAGGGAAUAUUGCUCUUAUUGAGGAAGGGCUACUGACCUCAGCCAGCUCAGGGAUGGUUGUUCACUUGGCUAGAAGGAAAAGCAAGGAGUGUGACCAAUUCUUCUAACACUUGAUCCCCAAUCCAUUCUUAGGAAGACUUCCUGGAUGGUGGAUGGCUCUGAGAAGGCGGGGCCCACAGAUGCUCAGGUUUGGUGCCUGCAGAGUGGUAAUCCCUGGUGUUCUUGGCUUUAUUUACGCUGAUCAUACAAUGAUAGACCAGUUCUCGGUGCUGCUGUAGAGGAGGAGAGCUUGGCUUCGGCAACUAGUCCAGGUAUGUACCAUGGCAGUCAUACAUUUCCAUUAUGGUGUGUGGUGUAUCUGUGCUCCCUGACAAGAGUCUAACCUCUGAGGGAAGUGUUGUGAUAUUCUGGAGGGUGCUGGUAUCAGUACCAAACCAUCAUGGGAGGGAGAGAAUCACGCAGCAGAUAAUGUCUGUUUCCUGCUUUGGGUGAACGAAUCUUGCUCCUUGGUGAUUUGAAUGAGUGUAUGGAGACGGGCCAGGCCAGUGUGAGGGCUUUCUGGUGUUUCCCUGGUGGGAACAAACUAACUGGCACUUAAGUGCUAACUCAUUUGCUUUUGCUCCAGAGAAGAGUCUUUGACUGACACAUCUUGCUGGAAAAGAAAAGGUUUCUGUCUGUCUUGCUUCACAGUGGGAAGUUCGAGGGGAAAUACCUGAGUUUUGUUUCUGAUGCCUGGCGCUGGGCUUUCUCAUCUGCAGGAGGGUUGCUAUCCUGGCUGAUGCUGGGAAAAGGCUAAUGCCUUCCCAUGACUCUCUUUGGGCAUUUUGAAUUUUUUUUUUUGAGUUAAAUUCUCAUUAAUAUCCCAACUCCGUGCUCCACAAAUUGGUCAAGGACAGUGAAAAGAGAAUCCGUGUGGGCUGUUGAGCAUAUCCUGGAGAGCUGAUAAAGAUAUCACCAGGAUGAGAGCUCUUCCCACUGUGGAAAUACGGAGGCUGUGUCGUGCCUUCAGAGGGCUAGCAGGUGUACCUAGGGACCGAAUGAGCCAACAUCAGAUUUGAGCAUGACGGAAGAGGAGGGGCCUAAGGUAGUCCAAGUGUGAUGUUGCAGAACCGUGGUCCUCAAGUGAUUCAGUGGGCUGCAGGGAGCACCCUUGCUGGUAUCAUGGCUCUCUCUCACCUAAGGCUAUGACCCUGGGAGUUCUGAAAGGCUGGUGAGAUGGAAGCAAGGGUAACAGAAGAUGAGGACGUCCUAGGAGUGAUGUUGGAGGUGUUGAUGAGACAUCAAUAAAUGGGUUGUUACAAACACAAAAUAGAGGUGGGGUUCUACCCACUCCUAGCCAGAACUGUAGAAAAUAAGAUGAACAAUUCCCAUGUCCUCAGGAAAGAGCCAGGUUUCCAUCAGGGUGGAAGGUGGAGCUAUGGAAAAGAAGUGAAGCCUUGAGGGACUUUGCUAGUGGAAUAUGUCUUAUGGAGCAAUGGAGGCAAGUGGGACAUGGAAGGGUGGGAGACAGGGUCUUCCUGGAGCUUUGGGAAGCUACCCUGAGGAAUAGUUCGCUUCCCAGUGGCUAGCCACUAGAAUCUGGAAAUGGUACCUGGUCCUACUAGUACAUGGUUGCUUCUAGGUGGUAGGUAAGCUAUUUGUGAUGGUAAUCUUCUUGAAAAGUGAUUUCUUAGAGAUAAGACAGUAGUGGAACACUGGAAGUGGUAGUGGAGGAUCUCCUGGGAUCGUGAAGAGCUCAGUGAAUCUUCUUUUGAUCCAUAUGAGGAUGCUAGUAACAUCAGUUGGGCUUUUCUGCAAUGGGACUUUUAUAGUCCCCUUAGGAGCUUGACAUGGCUGGUGGCUAACCGUGUGUGCACCAUUGAGAAAUCCAAGUCCCCAUUCACAUACCCCAGGGUCUAUAUACCUGCAGAGGACUCCUGACCUGCAGCAAGUGGGCUCCCCUUCUCAUCUUGAAAAUCUCCCAGUUUGGACUCUAGAACCAAGGAAGACAGAGAAAGGGGACAAUGUUGGCAUCAUUGCAAGGGAGGUGAGUGGCCACCCUUGCCCCACUCCAGUGUGUUUCUAGAGCACUUGUCCCCCACCUCACUAACACUCAGCAUCCAAUCUGCCUGCAGGUUGGUGGUUGGAAACCAUAGCCCUUGGAGAAAUGGAAGGGGCCCUUUGUCUGUCUUGUCUCUGCUUUUCUGUGGUACUUGAAGAGAAGUUGUUCGUGGUGGAUUCGCUUUACUUGUGACGAAUCAUUCACGGACAACACUUUUUUCAGUACCAAAUGCUACCUCUAAGGACUUCCUGGACAUGAUGGCAGCUUGCAGAAAGAUGGCGGUUCAGUCAAGUUGGUAGAGAAGCCAAGUAUGGAUGUUUGGCCAUGGACAGUAUGCUUGAGCUAGCUGUAAGUCACCUGGUCGGGUUACCUGAGCAGCUGAUCCAUCUGUAGGCCUCUCAUCAGUGGGCCAUGCCAACCUUGGUGAGGCAGCUGUGGCUCUGGCCCCCGGUAUCACCUUAGAAGACUUUGAAAAGAGGUCAUCUUCCAGAAGAGAUGUUGGUGCCAGCACCAUUCAGGGUGUGUGACUGGUUGACCAGAGGGGCGUGCACUUUGUUCACCCUGUGGGCCACCUAGUCACCAACCCUCGGCAUCAAUUCCACUAAAGAAGACUUUCCAGAGAUCCUGCCAAGUUUGGGGAUGUUUCAAUGGACUUUCUUGAUGGCUGUGCCUGCUCGGUGGACCAGAAUGAACUGUGGUCUUAGGGGUGUAUGUUUACAUAAGAUGCCAUGAGGCAUCCGUGGUAGCCGCGGCAUCACUGUCACAACCUACUUGAAAUGUUGACUUCAGAUGUGGACAUGAUGUUGACUUCCUAGGAGGGACCUGAAAUCCCUUCUCUCCUGGGUGUGUGACUGAAUUAUACUUUACUAAAGCACGUGCCUCACUUAUCCGAUGGAUCUAUCUUCUGGCUGUCUAACCUCAGUAUCCUGUCUCUCUACAGGAGAGUGUGAGAUGAUACCAACCUUGAGAAGCAGCCACUGUUGUCCUGACAUCACCACACUACCCCAAGAGCUUCCAGAGUAUGUUCUCUUCAUGGAAACUGUGAACUGGUGCGCCCUCUGGUCUAGGAAGACUAAGCAGGUUCAAGGCCAUAUACACAUCCCCCUUCAGGUAAGUGUGCCUCGGGUGAGCAUGCACUUAACGUAGGUGUAUGUCACUCGGCUCGGCCCACUACCCAACGCGGCCCCAACUCCUUCUUCACAGGACAGUGGAAGUGGUCACCUUUCCGAGAGAGUCGAUGUCGUCUUCUCCACCAGUGAUCAUGUGUGAUACUUGGAGAGAGGCUGGCCGUGAUGAAUUCGAUUCAUCUAAACGAGUCAUACACGGCUCUCCUCUCUUCUAGUGUCAAACUCUACCUCAGAGGUCUUCUUGAGCCAGUACUGUAACCAAGGUGGGUUUCUGAACAUCCAAUUGCAUAUUUCACACACUAACCCCAGUGUCCAAGCUAACUCUCCCAUGACUUCUUUGGAUAUUUCUGAUGUUUAGAAAGACCAGAGACAGUGUUGGGAGGUUCUGUUUAAAUGUUUAAAUACACUGGCUAGCUUCUGUCUUUAUUAGUACCUAAAUCUACCAUGGAAGGACAACUAGAAGCAACCUUGGUUAGUUAACCUUCAAGAUACAGAAUAAAAUGGGAGCUGGGCUUCAUGAGUCCAUGUUGAGUUAUAUGUAGCCACUCCAUACCCUGAAGUGAAGAAACUGAAGGUGAGCAUAUCCCCAGGACAACCUGCUUUGCAAACUGUGGUGCCACCUUUCUCUUAGUAAACAUCGCGUGACAAGUCAAAAAUCACCUUCCUCUUGGCACUUAUUUGGGGCUGAUAAACCAGAGAUUGGCCAGAGAACAUGGGUCUGACUGGGACUUAAGCCACCUGGUCCACUUAUUCUCAGGGUCCUGUCCACUCUCAGAGGCUACUCCCAAGGUGCCCCACUCUAAAGAAGAUGCAGGAGUGCUGUGAGAAGUGCCAUCCCCUGGUCCUUGGAGGGAGGUUGUCCAUAGUGAGUUUGCAUUAAUUAAUGAUGCCCAAUGCAGGGUCGACCUCUUUUCUGUGUCACAUCUCACCAGGCACUUCCUCAGAUCUGAUACCAACCAUGAGGAAGCCACGUUCAUGGUGGGUUUUGUACCAUCGUCCUUGAACAUGUAGUUACCUCCAGUGUUCCCUGACUCCAUCCAGUUCCUUCAUGGAGGGCAAUCCCAGGACUGAGGAAGAUACCCAUGUUACAAACUUAAGGCAUGGAUGUGGUGGCGCUCAUGGUACCUUAGCUUUUUUUUUUUUAUCUGUUUGUAAAUAAAAGUAAGAAAUUUUGCCCCCUCUUCCACUAUCAAAUUUUGUCUUAUAGGAAGGACUUCUUAUAUCUGUUGAGAAAUCCUGGAAUGGGGUCCAGUGGUCAGCAUUCUUAAGGGUGAGGGUAUAAAUAAGUGGGUCAACUGAGAUGUCAGAAGAAAUUUGAGGACCGCAGAAGAACUGUUUUCCAUUUCUUCAUUUUCUUUGUAUAAAGAGGAUUUAUUCUACUUAUUACUAUAUUUAUUAAAAAGAUGUAUGCCUGUGAUAAAAAUAAAAGCAAUAUGAAACAAUUAAAUUAAAGAAAUUAGAAAAGUUUCUACCCACACAUAAAUAACUUCAGCAAUGUCUAACUCCUUUCAGAGACUUACAUACAAAUGGAAAGAGAGGUAAGGAGAAAGCUAUUUCACAGGACAAAUCUACCCUGUGUCUAAUCAAGUUACUUAAAAUAUAAAUUAUACCAUUCACUUGUGCUUACCCUAAAGAACAAUGUCAAGAAGACUUAAUAGAUGUCUCCUAAAAGAUCCCAACACAGCUGAGAAUGGUGACAUCGAAAGCACGAAGUCGUUGAGAUCAGACUCUGCUGCCUCUGACUGCUUUACUACUGACCACUUGUUUUCUUUAAACCGGGGCUUCUAUCUCUCAGCUCUUGGUUCCUCUCUCAAUGCAAUGAGGAUUUUUGUCACUUCUACAAGAAUGGCUCACAGAUACUACCCUUCCUCCCCUUUCCGUCCCCUCCCCAUUGCUCCUCUCCUCUUCUUUUUUCUUUUCUCUAAAAUGGGGGUGGGGGUGGAGGGUGGAACCCAUACCUUCACACACACAGAGAGAAGACUCACUCACUGGGGUGUACCCAAGGCUAGCUCUGUUCUUGUGUACCCAAGGCUAGCUCUGUUCUUGCUCACAUUCUUGACCUCAGGACUCCAUAUCCUAGGAACCUGCAACUAGUGUAGCCUCUGGUACUGUUCGCCUACGUCCCUCAGGGGCAGGGCCAGAACCUGUUUUGAGUUAAGCUCUCUCUUCCUUUAACACACAAGGGUCUUCCUUUCCUUCAUUUGUAGCUGUACAUUAUACAACGGAGUUGAGCUGUGGGUGAAUGUCUCCCAGGAUUUUUACAUAUGUGUGGAGGUUUCUCUAUGUAGCCUUGUUACUGGGUUGGGCCUUUAGCUGAACAGUGGAUGACCCUGGGUGAAAUCCAUGGGUUCCUUCUCCUUUGCUGUCUGCUGCUCAUAGCCUUAGAAUAAUAGUCUGCUUGCUGCCUGAUAUCUGAACUACACAUCCUCCUUGCUUUUGAACACUGGGGACUCUACCAGUUACUGUCAGGUUUAUUAUUCCCCCUCAAUUGUAACUUUUAUUCCUUCUUUCUUAUUGCUAGUUGUAUCCUUUAAAAGAUGCUCUCUUGACUUCUUUUCUUGGCUUGAAAGAUCCAAGCUGUUGGCCUCACUCUUUAGUCAGUGCUCCGCCUCCUACUGCUGCGAUCUUCACUGCAGCCCUCCCUGGUGCCAUUGGCAUCCUAAAUUUGUUUAGUUAAAGGCAUAAGACCCCCCCUUUCUCACUGUCACUUUCCACCUUGGCAGGAUGCCUAAUUGCAAUGCCAGCUUCUGGGGUGAACAUGGACCCACUGUCAUCAGGCAAGGUCUAGGAUGGACGUGGACCCACCAUCCUCGGGGAGGUUCUGAAAUGGACAUGGACCCACCACCAUCAGGCAGGUUCCGGGAUGGACAUGGGCCCCCUGUCUUCAGGUAGCUAUGUGGAUUUACCAUCAACCAAGCACGUUUUGUUUGUUCAUUUCUUUGUCAUCUCAUGUUCGGUGGACCAUUAGCUAAAGAGUACAGUGUAUCGGUAGGAAGGUACCCUGAACGUUUGCUUACCCUGAGAGAUGAGGCCAUGACUCGAAGGUCAGCGCCAUUUAGUGCUGACCUUAUUUUUAUGACGAGUAGUGCUGAGUCGGCCUCUCUGUGAGCUCUCCAGUAAAUUCCUAGACACAAAGCCUAUGUAAGGUGAGCUGUGAUGGCAGUGCCGGACUCUUCCCUCCCAUCAUGAACAGGAUGAAAUCUAGGACCUCCAUCACCAGACCCCGUAAGGACCCUUAGGCACUGCAUCCUUGGCAGUGGUGCCAAUGCUAGGUGACCAUAGGCCUCAGGGGGAAUGGGUUGGAUGUGGGGUGUGUGAUGCUUUCUCAAACCCUCUCGCAGUCAACGCAGUCACCUGCUGUGUUCACUGUGCUUGGGGGACUUCCUGGAGGAAGCCAGCUUCAGAGAAGAGAUGCUGGUGCCCAUGUGCGGUGCUUGAAGAUAGGUUAUCCGUGUUGCCUUCGCUUUAUUCGUGACGAAUCAUACACGGUUGACCUAUUUUUCAGUACCAAAUCCCGCCUUGGAGGAAUUUCUGGGGUGGGACUGUGGUGUUAGCGCCUCUCCAGGGUAAGUGAAGGGAUCGUUCACCAUGGGCGGAUCUAGUAACAGGGAAUGCUGUCCACGCCCAGUGUGUCCCUGGUUCUCUGGUGGACUCAGGGAGAGAGGUACCUACUUUGGAAUGAGGUAGAGUAUUCUGUAGUCAUUCACUUUAUUACUUCAACAAAUCACAUAAAGUCCACCUUCUAGGGUGUAAAAUGUGGCCCUCAAGCACCUUAAAGGUCAAGGUCAGAACUAGGGAUUGUAUUCACAGCAUCUACCAUAAUGUUUACAUCAGCCCCUUUGGCCAUGCAGUCUGGGCUCGGUAGAAGAGGCCAUUGAGUUCCCUGGCGUUGUUCUGAUAAGAGGCCUUCCCACUGCUCUCUAGGACACACCCACAUGGGCAUGGCGAGCCCAUUUCCAAUGGCUACUGGACAGUGACACUAACCACAGGCAGGAGACAAGAAGUGGCCCGAGGCCACAGGGCAUGUGUCAUAUGGCUAGAAUAUGUAGCCAUCAGCCCACCUCUCAGGGACUCCAUCUUCAGGUCUGUGGCCUGAGACGUAGCAAUGCAAGCUCUCGAAAUCAAGUGUUCGAAUGGAGGUUGUCCAUGGUGUGUUCAUUUUAUUUAUGAUGAGUAUUACAUGGCCAAUCUCCUUUCGGCACUAAAAUCUUCCUGGGAGAGCUUCUCCGACUGUGCAGGUUAGGGGAACAAAUUGUUUCCUGCCCUGAGUGCUUUUUCUGGGACUUAUGUCACCUGGUUGUCAAUGUAAGAUUUCCCAGAAAUGACACCGACUAUUUCAGUGGCUCUGUGGUUGUCUGACCAUAGUUACAAAGAGCAGAGUACAUUGUGGCAAGCACUGUACUGAGAUAAGGAAACAUCGCAGAUUUAGGCAUAUGGUAGGGAAAGACAAAUUUCAGUCACCCAUGGGGUGGGGCCAGCUUACAAGCCACUCGGUUACUCAUUCAUCACCAGUUUCACCAGUUUUCUAGUCCAGGGGUGAUCUCUAGGAAGUAGAACCAGCUCUCAGGCUGGCGGAGGGGAGGGGCAUCUCACAGUGACAUUUAGUGACAUGAGAAUGCUGAUGUCCUUCCCCUGCUCCAGUGUCCCUUGGGAAGGAGAGGACUCAGCAGCAUUCAUUACCACCUGAUACUUGCUAAUGGUGUGACCUUGAAUGAGUCAGCCUGUCAUCUGUCUGUGCCUCCGUUUGUCUGUCUGAGAGUGUUAAUGGCUGCUUAUAAGGUAUGUAUACACGCUGAAUGUCUGCUCAGUAUUUUGACAGAGCCCGGCUUCCCCCAGAAAGUUGGAAAACCACUGGCUUUUAUAAUGAUGGUCAUUGCAUGAAUGUAGUUACUCUGUGGAUCUGUUCCCACCCUCUGGAACACAGGUUCCUUAAGCACAGAAGCCGUGUCGAAUGCUCGUAGGUGUGCCCGGUACGAAUGCUAUUGAUUGAAUGGCAGUUUGACAUGUUCUCUUUGUCAAACCCUCUUUGAGGCCUCUCGGAAGCUGGAGAGAAAGGAGGACGAUCCGGAAGCCUUGUACCCUGAUGCUGCUGGUUUGUCUGUGGGGUCUUGCUCUCCUCUCAGGAUGCUUCCCUAGAAAGGGAGUCAUCCACUUUUAGGUCAGCCUUCAUUGGUGGGCAGAAUGGACCCUACCACACAGAUAGUCAUGGUUUCUUCUAUGUCAAACCUACCUCAGGACUUCUAUGGCAGAUAUUUUGGGAUUCAGACUUGAUGUCCAUGUGCUUCUGGGUGAGUGACCAAUUUCUGGCCAAAGCCUGGACAUCUGUACAAGUCUCUGUCCACUCGUAGGCAGGAUAGACCUUGGCAAUGCCAGUCCAAGAUAGUCUGCCUUAUAGUCAGACUUGGGGGACUCAUUGGAGGUAACGGCAACCUCCCUAGAGGGUGGGAGUCAGGGAGCCAGAGCCGAGGGAGGCAGAGGUGCCUGGAGAAGAGGCACCCUGCGGUACUCUCGGCCUGUGCUGACGUUUGAUUCUUGAGCAGAGGUUGCCCUUGGUGAAUUCGCUUUAUUGAUGUUGAAUCACACAAAGGCAACUUUUGGUUGAGUAUCAAAGCCUGCUUGGGGUGGCAUUGGGGACAGGAUACAAAGUUCUGGGUCUCUGUUUGUGCCAUGCGCUAGAAUGGAUGGCGUGGAUAUGGGUAUCAACAGGAAAGGAUGUGGCUCAGAGAAUACCAUGUGACCAGACACGUAGUCCCAGGAACCCAGGAAGAGAUGGCAGUGUCUUCUCAGCCUGAAUCCUCUUUGUCACACCAGCACCUAGCCCCGCCCCCGGUUGCAGACAGUUCUAGCUCUAGUAGAACUAGAUGCAGUAGUUCCAUCUCUACUCUGAAGACACCUUGACUAAAUGAACUCUCUCCUUUGACAGUGUCAUGGACAAUGGCAGCCUUUCCUCCCCACCCCCUUCCUCUCCCCAACUCACUGGGUCAGAAGCGCUCACACCCCAUCUGUUUUCUCCCCUACCCCCACCCCGCCCCACCCCCUCAACCCUCUUCUGUCUGCUUCUCUUUCUUCCUCAUCGCUUCCUCGCCAAACCUUGUUCUCCAUUUUUGGAUGGGUUAGGAAAUGAAUAGAGGCGACCAGCAUUUCAGUCCCAUUUACAUUAAAUAAUAGUGAUAGAAUAAUCACAAAAUAACACCACAAACCACCAGAAUGGCUCGGAGGAAAAUGUGUUCAAUUGACUACAAAUUGGCAGAAGAAUCCAAUUUUCUUGACAACAUUUUAGCUAGGACAUUUGACCUGGGGAAACAGUACUCUGUAGACAUGGCAGCCGCAAGGGGCAGCUUCGAUAGUGGCAGAUGCUGUGAGCAGUAAUAUUUGCGGUAGACGAACGCACAUUGAGGAAUCAAAUCUUCGUUCAGAUUUUUAAAUGGGAAAGAAUUGAUCCUAAUGAAAAUGAUUUGAGGAAAUAACAAGGGAAAUAAAAUAAAUGAAAAUGGCCCAACAGCACAGUCAAGGAAGCUAAACAGGGAAUUGGAUUAGUUUAAUGGAAUUUACUUAAAAAAAAGGGGGGGAAGAAAAGAAAAGCAUGUUUUUUAUGAAAAUCAAUGUGGGUACAGUUUUUGGUCAGAUGUCGAAAUCCAGGGGUUUAGACUAGAGCCAGUGGGGCCAGUAGGAAGACCUGGUCAUAGUACAGGUCCUUUAUGUGGCUAAACUAUAUUUUUCUGUCCCAAACCUUCACAGAGAGCUUCCUAGACAAAUGUGCUGACUGGAGUAUUGACAAGCUGGCAGGAGGACGUGACUGGGUACAAAUGCCAGAACACACACCCUAUAUGCAGUCUUCUUCACUUUCCUCUCUCCUUGUGAAACAUUCUGGGUUCUUUACCGAAGGACCUCAGAGUCUACAUCAUUAUCUUGGAAGCUGGUCAGUGGCUGGAGGAAGAAUCUGGACAAGUUUCCAAAUGCCGUUAACUGGAUCUUGUAUCUACUGCUAGCCACCAUCUUCGCCACUGUGUGAUUCUCAGGAGCAUUUCCAGGGGGUGAUAUCAGCUGGGGGAAGAGCCUCUGUUCUACAGGACAGCUUCAGGUGGUGAAUUCCAGCCCCAGGGGUGCUCCGGUCAACACUGGGUACUUGAGGAGAGGUUGUCUGUGAUGAGUUCGCUUUAUUAAUGACGAAUAUAACACAGAUGGCCUGUUUUCAAUACCACCUGCCACUCCUGUCACUUGGCAGUACAUGCCAGGUGUCACAGCACUGCCCGGUAGGUAAAUGCAUGCAUGGACUCUGUCUGACGCUUCUCACCCCUCUUCACUGAACCUCAGCUCCACAUCCAUCCUGAGGAGCUUCCUGGGAUCACACCAACCUUGUAGGCUGGGCCAGGAAGCACCGGGCUGAUGUAUGAUGGAUGACUGGGAUCUCUGUCCAUUUUCCGUGCCUCUCGCCUGCCACUAGAGUGGGUGUUUGUUCCUGUCUAAGGCAUUCCACUGAGGGCUGCAUGCCCGCAUGCCCUGUACCCUGGGUGGCUUCCCGAUAUCGUGAGUGCUUGGUGGGCUGGCAUAAUGCUUAGGGAAGAACCAGGCCAGUUGGUUACACCUGCAGUUCCCAGUAUCUGAGGUGAGAUUGCCAUGAUGAGUUUCCUUUUUUUUUUUUCUUUUUUUUUUUUCGGAGCUGGGGACCGAACCCAGGGCCUUGCCCUUGCUAAGCAAGCGCUCUACCACUGAGCUAAAUCCCCAACCCCGAGUUUCCAUUCUUAAUGGCAGUACAAUGCUUGGUCAGCUCUCUCUAUCAUUGGCUCUUAUGUGAGCCUGGGUGUCAGGGGAGGGACAUAUGUUGCUGAGCCACUGGACACAGCUGAUAGUCAGGCAUGUAUCUGACUCAUCCUGAGGUGAGGAUUGGGAAGUCCAGAAGGGCAUCUUAGAGGAAGAAGCAUCCUAUGUAGGUAGGGUCCAUGCUAGUGGUAGCACCUGAAAUAGGUUGUCUCUGAGACGUUUGCUCUGUUUUUUUUUUUUUUUAUGAUUUUAAUUUUUUCAUUUUAAUGAUGUUUAUUUCUUUUUGUUCUAUGUGCGUUGGUGCUUGUCUGCAUGUGUGUCUGGGUGAGGGUGUCAGAUCACUUGGAGCUGGAUUGCAGACAGUUGCAAGCUGCCAUGUGGGUGCUGGGAAUUGAACUCUGGUCCUCUGGUGUCUGCUUUCUUUUUGAUGACUGUUCCACCGCCUGCUUCUUCCUUGUACCGUAUCCUACCCUAGACCGUUUCUGCUUUGAAGCGUUGACACCAGCAACAGAAGCAUUUGUGUAGGUUGACGUCUGUAUGUGAGACCACCCCUUGGCCUGUCAUGUCCCCAGUUCCACUCUGUUGGAAACGGCACAGAAUGUCCUCCUGAGUCUAUGAGGCAGUGACACCCAAGCUCUGUCUCUAUCACUUUAUGGUCUGGCUCUAUCAGACGCCCGUGAGCUUACCAUAGAGGCUUGACCUGGAGAUUCAGGGACCCCAGAAAGUAGCUGAUCAUGCCGAGUAGGAGCCUUUGAAAGAUAGGCUAUAGAGUGUGGGUAUUCAGCAAGGCCCCAGGGUAGCAGAGAGUUCUUUCUGAUUAGGUUUUCCCCACAUCCCUCAUCUACUGGAGCCAGCAGCACCCUCACUCUGGCAACUCCACCCUGUUUUCUCUUCUCUUCUGGGCCUCCUCAGCAGGAAAAUGCUCUUCCAGCAGAGAUAGUGAGCACCCUGGCUUGGACCUAGCACAUGGCCUCCCUUAGAUUUCUUCCUCUUGUUCAGGAUGGUCUGCCCAUGCCCCGCCCCCUGGGAGCUGGUCCUGGUUGCUGUCUCCCCAUAGCCCAGCCCUCUUCCUUGGCCCUCAUGCUUGCACUCCCCCCUCACAGGAGUUCAAGACUCCAAGGGGGGAUAGUGAUCUCUGUCCAGCAAUGCCAUUGCCAGCAGCCUGACACCACAAUCCAGCUCCUUCCUUUGUGAUCUGCCUCCGUCAGUCUGCUUCUUAGCUAUGGCUCCUGAGGUGCCUGCUGUCCCAAACUGCCUAGUACUGUCUACAUGCUCCCAGCCUCUCUCCCCCCCCCAACAACAACAACAAUAAAAAAGCUAUAAUAUUUCCCAAGACAGGGGUGGACCUUUCCUUCGCGUCUAUCUUUUUCCCUUCCUCCCUUUUCCUCUGUGCCCCUUCCCUCCCUCCCUCCGUCUUACUUCCUUGACUUAGCCUCUGCUGUAUUCUAAGCCUUAGGAUCCAGGCCAGGCCUAUAGUGACAGAAUAAUGGAGUGUGCUGAUUGACUAAUAGAGUCCCCAAAGGCGGAAACCAUAUUAGGUUAAUUCCCAGGAAAGUGGUGAGCAUAAAGCAGGAAUUCCAUAAGAUGUGGUGGCUGAUUCCAUAAAUAUGGAAGGCGGGUUUGCAUAGCCUUUGCAUGCGUUAGAGGCCUCCCGCCCCAGCAUGCCGCUGAUUUCUGAGACUUGCUGCAAUAGGGGACAGGCAGGUCAGCCAGGUCUGUGGGCUUUUCUUUACUUUCGUAGCCGGGGUCUCAGGCUAGACUUCAAAUUUAGCUGUGCAAGCCCCACCCUCCCCUCCAUGAAUGCCUCUGUGGCAGUGAGCCAGAGGCCCCUUGGAGGCCCCUGUGCAGCAGGCCUGAGCUGCUGUCAGGGCUAAUAUUUUAUGCAUGGACCUAAGUAAAUGGGAACAUUUGGAGAUGGAAAUUGCUGUUAAUGACACAUCUUUGGAAUAUAUUAAAUGCGUGCGAGAAGGCUGCCGAUCUCUCCAUUUAAUUGCGCCAAUGUAAGCGCAGCCACACCACAGCAUCCGCAGAUAGGCUGCUCCAAGUCUCUUCACCACUGAUGGGGAAAAUCCCAGGUACCUCACCCACCCAGGGAGAAUGAUGCACUGGAUGGACUGUCAGCUGGGGUGCCAAGCGAUCUCCAACACACAUGCAUUCCAAACUCAUUGGAGACCCAAAGAGGAUGAUCCCUCCCGCCUGGGGCAGACUUUUAUUAAAAGCAAAAUUACUAGAUUUAUCUAUUGUUUGAGGAGAAGGAAAGAUAAAUAAAGGACUUUUCUCAUCCAUUGAGUCAAGUGAAAGUGCCUGUCCCUCAGGCAGGCAGGAGGAAAGUCCCUGGGGUCAGAGAAUUCGCCAUCUCUAAGAGAGUGUGUUAUUCCAGUGCGCCAAGGUCACAGAACACAGGCUACUUCUCUGUGCCCGAUAGGUGAUAAAGCCAGUUUGCCUGUCCCAUAGUUUCUUGGAAUGCGGUUAGACUGAGCCAGUGGUCCGUCCCUUUAAUAUUUUCAAGGAGAUGGUGUGUGUGUGUGUGUGUGUGUGUGUGUGUGUGUGUGUGUGUGUGUGUGCAGGGGAUGGGGAGGAUUAAGUACUGGCUGUCCCCAGGAAGCAUGUGUGGAGGGUGAGGAUGUUUUUCUCAGAGGUUGAGCUGUCUUCCCAAGAUCACACAGCUGGAGACAGGGCUCUAGCCUGUAUGUUCUUAACAUCUUUGUGCUGGCUUACGUACCUCGAACGGUGACCCCAUGUGCCAUAGGUGACAGACAGCUCAUUGACCUGUUCUCUACGUUCGUUCUGUACAGUGAGGCAGGCUCAUUUUCCUCCAGACAUUGCUUAUCAGAAUUGUCAGGAUGGUCUCUUUUCCCUUUUAGUUUACCUGUUAACUAAGAUGCUUUCUUUCAUGUGUGGCCUGAGGAGAGGCUGCCUACUCCAUCAGAAAACAAUCUCUCUCUCUCUCUCUCUCUCUCUCUCUCUCUCUCUCUCUCUCUCUCUCUCUCUUUGUAUGUGUGUGUGUUCUGUCUCUGUCUCCCCCUCUCUGUCUCUGUCUGUUUCUCUCUCUCUCAAUCUCUCUCUCUCUCCCUCUGUGUGUGUGUCUGUCUGUCUCUCUCUUUCUCUCUCUCUGUGUAUGUGUCUGUCUCUCUGUCUGUCUGUCUGUCUGUCUCUCUCUCUCUCUCUCUCUCUGUAUGUGUGUUUCAUCUCUGUCUCCGUCUCUCAAACUCACACACUCUCUCUCUCUUUCUCUGUGUGUGUGUGUCUGUCUCUGUCUCUCUGUCUCUCUCUCUGUAUAUGUGUCUGUCUGUCUGUCUCUCUCUCUGUAUGUGUGUGUGUUUCAUCUCUGUCUCCGUCUCUCAAUCUCUCUCUCUCUCUCUCUCUCUCUCUCUCUCUCUCUGUGUGUGUGUCUGUCUGUCUCUGUCUCUCUGUCUGUGUCUCUGUCUCUGUCUCUCUCUGUGUGCGUGUGUGUGUGUGUGUGUGUGUGUGUGUGUGUGUGUGUGUGUGUGAGCCUGAUGCAUCUGGCCAGUGGCUGGCAAGCUGCAACAUUAUCCUGGGUUGUGUGCGGAGUGGGCUAGGGCAGUCCUAGAGAUAGCGUUGCUCAUAUGAGGUUGACCCAGUCCCCAAGUUUGGUCCCUCCUGACCAGUUUCUCUUAUUAUACCUUUGAGCAGCUAAAGACUGAGGACUGUGGAAGGGAGAGCCCUGCUCCUUUGCAGUGGGGAUUUGGAAACAGACGCACAUAAUAAGUCAAUAAGGUUUCUUUGUCAAGACUUGAAAGGCUGUGAACCCUUCAAGCUGCUCAUAGUAGAUGCUCAGAAAAUGUCUGUCUUCUUUGCAUCAAAUGGGCUUAGGCACCAGCACCAAGGAGGUGAAGGAUGGACGGCUGCGGGGGAGCUCAGAGAAUGUUUGUGGAUUGAAUAAGUAAAAGCACACCCUUUCGGAGGAAAUUAAGAAGCAGAGAAAGGAAGAAACAGCCGGGGAAGACAAUAUAAAUCUCUAGCAGCGUUACCAACGCCACAGCUGGGGCUGCUAAAAAGACCCUGUGGAGGUGGUGGGGUCAUUUGUCAUGGGCGAGGACAGGCUUAAGGGCUGGGACACCGGGCUUGAUGGAGGCUCGUCCAUCAUUUUCUCAUUAUCCGUGCGACGUGGAGGGCAGCUAGCAGAUCACAGAAUAGCAGCCUCCCCAAGAAGGUGGCAGGGCUGUGAGUGUGAGGGACCCCGAGGGAGGGCAGGCUGCCCCAGGCCCUGCCCCCUCCAGGAAGCCUUCUUGCUCCAGCCCCACACACGAUCUCAAUCUCCCUUGUCCUCCUCUGAUGUUCACCGUGUGAUCUUUUAUCAACGCAACUAUGGAGGGGCCCUUGAUAGCUUGUUCCCAUGUGUCCCUGUGCUUGCCUAGGUUUGGUGUAGGGGGAGACACUGAAUGCUUGACGGCCCUGUCUUUCCAUUUUUUAGGCAGGUGACACCGAAUUGGUCCUCAGGAGCAGAUGUCCAGGAACCCUGCCUACACUCCAUCCCAGCUGCUAGUCCUAGGUUGGGACACUCCACUGGGGUCGUCCAUGGGAAAGCUAUGGAUGUUAACCAGCCCUGAGGCCUGACCUGAAGCCAUCAGUGGCCGCAGCUGCCGUUCCUUGCCUUUUCCUCCCUGGAUCUCCUGAUUACAUCAACCAACAACAAAGAUGUCUGAGCCCAGAAGAUGCUCUCCACUGCCCACCUGAGAGGACUGGAACUUUCCAUGACCCAGUGGGAUCCAGUACCACCCCCCCCCCAACAAACACACACACACUACACCCUGUGCCAUCCACCUGAGUCCCCAACCCAUAGCCCCUGCUUCUCACCCAUUCCCCACGUCCCACCCCAAGCCUAGCAUUUCAGGCCUGAGCAGCCCUUGCUUAGGAACCUGAGGUGGGGGUGGGUAGGCAGACCCAGGGGACUGAGCAGGGCGGGGAAGGAGGGAUUUCUGCUCUUGGCUUUCAAAGUCUCAGUGUAUGUAGCCCUUUGAACAAUAAACAUAUAUCAUAAAAUGUAAA